CCUACGGGUGGCAGCAGUGGGGGAUAUUGCACAAUGGGGGGAACCCUGAUGCAGCGACGCCGCGUGGGUGAAGAAGCGCCUCGGCGCGUAAAGCCCUGUCAGCAGGGGAGAAAAUGACGGUACCUGAAGAAGAAGCCCCGGCUAACUACGUGCCAGCAGCCGCGGUAAUACGUAGGGGGCAAGCGUUAUCCGGAUUUACUGGGUGUAAAGGGGGCGCAGUCGGGGAUGCAAGGCAGGAGGGAAAGCCCGGGGCCGAACCCCGGGACGGCUCUUGGAACUGCGUGGCUGGAGUGCAGGAGGGGCAUGCGGAAUGCGUGGUGUAGCGGUGAAAUGCGGAGAUAUCAGGAGGAACACCGGUGGCGAAGGCGGCAUGCUGGACUGCAACUGACGUUGAGGCCCGAAAGCGUGGGGAGCAAACAGGAUUAGAUACCCGAGUAGUC
rnacentral:rRNA from 1 species